ACCUCCUCUGUGACGGCAGCAGCGGGCAGGUCGCAGACGCCAGGGCUGAGUCGACCGCGCCGCCCGGGGCUCACGCAGGGUCGGACCCGGCCGGCGGCGGCGGCGGCGGCUGCGCGCGGCAGCUGAGGGAGGCCCGAGGGCUUUGGCUGCGGCGACUGCGGCUUCCCAGGGGGGGCGGCCCCAGGAAAGGAUGCGGCGGAGCCCCCGCCCAGACUCGGCCGCCUCCUCUCACAAGCAAGCGCCCGACUUCUCCAGCGACAACAGCAGUAGUUCCCACAGCGUGACUUCGGGGGACAGCAAUGGGCCCCGGUCCGCGGAGCUCGAGCAGCCCGAGGGCAGAAGGACCCGGGGCUCGAGCUGUGCCGAGCCCUCCUUAAGCCCGGAAGUGUCCGGAGGAGCCCCAUGGGCAGGAAGCUCUUGGCCGAAGCCGGCGCCUCGGAGCCACAAUGGGCAGACCGCCUGUGGCUCGGCAACCGUGAGGGGCGGGGCCUCGGAACCGGCUGGAUCUCCGGCAGGCUUGGAGGAGCAGCUCAGCUUUCUCCCCGCCCUGGAUCUGAGGCAGGAGAUGCCUACCCCGCGGGUGUCGAAGAGCUUCCUGAGUACGAGCCGGGCCAGCCCCAUCCCUUCUGACCUGGCACUCGGAACCCCAGUUCUCCUGCCCGAACCCGGGUCCAAGAAUCCAGCCCGAUCCCCUCUGACCUGGCACUCGGAACCCCAGUUCUCCUGCCCGAACCCAGUUCUCCUGCCCGAACCCGGGUCCAAGAAUCCAGCCCCAUCCCUUCUGACCUGGCACUCGGAACCCCAGUUCUCCUGCCCGAACCCAGUUCUCCUGCCCGAGCCCGAAUCCGAGAAUCCAGCCCGAUCCCUUCUGACCUGGCACUCGGAACCCCAGUUCUCCUGCCCGAACCCAGUUCUCCUGCCCGAUUCCGAAUCCGAGAAUCCAGCCCGAUCCCUUCUGACCUGGCACUCGGAACUUCAGUUCUCCUGCCCGAACCCCUCUGACCUGGCACUCGGAACCCCAGUUCUGCCCGAGCCCGGAUCCGAGUGUCCAGCCUCAUCUCGUUUUUCCAGCCCAUUCUUGUCUCCUGAGACCCAGGACCUUGCCCGCCCCCCGGCCCCGUCCCUCCCAAGCCUUUGUGAACCUGCACCACUUGACCCCUCAUGGUUCGCCCUCUCUGUCCCGGCCCCCAGGUUUCCUCUUUCAGGUGCUGAGCGUGUUGUUAUCAGUGACUGGAGACGUGCUGGUCAGUGUGUACAGGGAGGUCUGUUCCAUCCGCUUCCUGUUCACUGCUGCGUCGCUUCUGAGUGUCUUUCUGGCAGCACUCUGGUGGGGUCUCCUGUACCUGGUCCCCCCUUUGGAGAAUGAACCUAAGGAGAUGCUGACUCUGAGCCAGUACCACCAGCGCGUGCACUCUCAGGGCCAGCAGCUGCAGCAGCUCCAGGCAGAACUGAAUAAACUCCACAAGGAGGUGUCCAGCGUUCGUGCAGCCCACAGUGAGAGAGUGGCCAAGCUCGUGUUCCAGAGGCUGAAUGAGGACUUCGUUCGGAAACCUGACUAUGCACUGAGCUCUGUGGGAGCCUCCAUCGACCUGGAGAAGACGUCCAGUGAC